GGGAGGCAGCAGUAAGGAAUAUUGGGCNAUGGAGGCNACUCUGACCCAGCCAUGCCGCGUGCAGGAUGACUGCCCUAUGGGUUGUAAACUGCUUUUGUACGGGAGAAAACCCUCGUUUGCGAACGAGGCUGAUAGUACCGUAAGAAUAAGCAUCGGCUAACUCCGUGCCAGCAGCCGCGGUAAUACGGAGGAUGCAAGCGUUAUCCGGAUUCAUUGGGUUUAAAGGGUGCGUAGGCGGUCUUAUAAGUCAGUGGUGAAAGCCUGCAGCUUAACUGUAGAAUUGCCAUUGAUACUGUAGGACUAGAGUACAGACGACGUUGGCGGAAUAUGACAUGUAGCGGUGAAAUGCUUAGAUAUGUCAUAGAACACCGAUUGCGAAGGCAGCUGACGAGACUGUAACUGACGCUGAGGCACGAAAGUGUGGGGAUCAAACAGGAUUAGAUACCCUGGUAGUCCACACUGU
rnacentral:rRNA from 1 species